rnacentral:pre_miRNA from 1 species
GGAACACCCCUAUGGAGCUGGACUUGUUUCAGUAGGGCUAUGGUGUUCACUGAGUCUGCCUCUUGAGUGUGUUGCU